AAAUUCAACUUUGCACUAAAACGUGUAAUUGUUAAUGUUCAUCGCUAACAUCACUGGUGAAUCCACUUCUGUAUCGUCUCGCGGGCUUUUAGACUAGCUUUUCGUUUCGGUCUGUCCUCCAUAUGUUCCUGUUCACCAAUUGGAAAGUUAGAAUUGUUUGUCAUCGUUUGUGUUACUUCCAACAGAUAUAAUUUUGCGAUCGGUCUUGUAGUUUCUCCUGUGCUGGUCCUUAUUCGUGCUGAUCUUACAAGUCCAUCAUUACCUCUGGCUAGUUCGGUUACGAUCCCAAUUUUCCAGUUUAUCCUCGGACAUUCGUUGUGAAUUUGUACGAUGUCUCCUGUAUUUAUUAAUUGUUCAUUUUUUCCGAUUGUCCUAUGAAAUUCACGUAAAGACGUAAGGUAUUCGGAUUUCCAUCUUUUCCAGAAAUGUUGAAUCAAUUGCGUUUGUCUGUAUACACUUUUAUUAAGAUCUUUAUGUCCCAUGUAAGUCGGGUCUAGUAUAUUCUCAAUUUCUGAUUGCGGGUACGGUAAUGUUGAAAUGCGCCUUCCGUAUAGUAGAUGAGACGGAGUUAAAGCUUCACAGUCUUUGAUAUCGGACGAUGGAUAUGUUAGCGGUCUGUCAUUUAAGAUAGUUUCUAUUUCCGUAACAACUGUUUGAAGUGUUUCCAUGUUUACUUGGGAUCGUCCAAGCACUUUCUUCAAACUUGUCUUCGUCAGAACAAUCAAGGUGCACGUUUCGGUAUAAAUCUCCACUCUACACCGUGUGUUGAUAAAGUAUCUUUUACUAUAUCCGAUUCACAUAAUCUUUUUAUUUCUGUAGAUC
rnacentral:lncRNA from 1 species